CUCAUAUCUUUUAAUCUUUCCUUGUAAACUAUGUGUGAGUAAAAUCUCCUUUUAAGGAUUAGGAGAUAAUAUGUAAUAUCAAGAAGUUCUCCUUCGGAAGAACAGUUAUGAAAUAAAACAACCCUUUGUUUAAACUUUUAUCUUCUAUCAUGAAAGUUCAUAAUUUGUAAAACCUAGAGUCCUGAAGUCCGAUGAAGUACCGCUUAGACAGGAGAUCGAAGGGAAAAUAUGGGUCGAAAUUCAGAACUUACAAGAAAAGAUAGAAGGAUAAGAAAGCGAAUUCCUUUCUUCAAUGAAUUCUGAUCAUUGAAUGAUGCAUCUCUAAUAACGACAGAGUGGUGGUCGGUACACCGUAAUCCGCGGUAACGCCAAGGACACAAGGCUCAAGUGACCGUUAGAGUACGUGCCUUUUCCAGACAUGGACGCAAGUGGGGGGGUUAAUAUACACAAAAUAUCAAUGUUAUAAUCAAAGAUUAGAUUUCUAAUAAAUGAAAUAUGGUGCUAAAGUGUUUUACAGCUAA